GAUGAACGCUGGCGGCGUGCCUAAUACAUGCAAGUCGAGCGAACAGACGAGGAGCUUGCUCCUCUGACGUUAGCGGCGGACGGGUGAGUAACACGUGGGUAACCUACCUAUAAGACUGGGAUAACUUCGGGAGACCGGAGCUAAUACCGGAUAAUAUAUUGAACCGCAUGGUUCAAUAGUGAAAGACGGUUUUGCUGUCACUUAUAGAUGGAUCCGCGCCGCAUUAGCUAGUUGGUAAGGUAACGGCUUACCAAGGCAACGAUGCGUAGCCGACCUGAGAGGGUGAUCGGCCACACUGGAACUGAGACACGGUCCAGACUCCUACGGGAGGCAGCAGUAGGGAAUCUUCCGCAAUGGGCGAAAGCCUGACGGAGCAACGCCGCGUGAGUGAUGAAGGUCUUCGGAUCGUAAAACUCUGUUAUUAGGGAAGAACAAAUGUGUAAGUAACUAUGCACGUCUUGACGGUACCUAAUCAGAAAGCCACGGCUAACUACGUG
rnacentral:rRNA from 1 species